GCCAUGCCGCGUGCAGGAUGACGGCCCUACGGGUUGUAAACUGCUUUUAUACGGGAAGAAACCUGAUUACGUGUAAUCAGCUGACGGUACCGUAAGAAUAAGGAUCGGCUAACUCCGUGCCAGCAGCCGCGGUAAUACGGAGGAUCCAAGCGUUAUCCGGAUUUAUUAGGUUUAAAGGGUGCGCAGGCGGAAAUGUAAGUCAGUGGUGAAAUCCUACAGCUUAACUGUAGAACUGCCAUUGAUACUGCGUUUCUUGAGUAUAGUUGAGGUAGGCGGAAUGUGUAGUGUAGCGGUGAAAUGCAUAGAUAUUACACAGAACACCAAUUGCGAAGGCAGCUUACUAAACUAUUACUGACGCUCAUGCACGAAAGCGUGGGGAGCGAACAGGAUU
rnacentral:rRNA from 1 species